AAUUAUAUCGUUUUUCCCGCUAUGACUUAGUAUUGUGCAAGCGAGUGUACGUAUCUUCUGGCAGGCGGAAAAACGUUACUUUUGAAAAUUAAAUUAGCGACAAUCUGUACGGGGUGUUAAAUGAAAUAAUAUUCAUACUUUCGAAAAGUGAUAAAACUAUGUAAAAUGCCAUCUAUAAUCUAUACUUCUUUCAACACAUAAUCUAAGGCAAGAAUCAUUCAGCCUAAUUGGCAGAAAAGUAAAUACUUAUAAGAGAAUAUCAUCGAUUAGAGGCUUAUUUGAAGCAAAUAUCGAAGAUAUAUUCCAAAAAAAUCUAAGAUAUUGACAAGAGAGAAUAUUUUGAAAUUUAUUAGAGAAACAUCAAGUCAUAUACAUAUCCUUUUGAAAAGGUUGUUCUAGUAAAGGGUGUUUUUGGAGGAUUAAGAAGAGAUGAGUUGGUAAAGCUCUCGAUAGGUGAUAUAAAUGACAAAGGAAUCGUUGUUGUAGUAAAAAUUAACAAAAACUGGAGUACCAAAAUCUUUUACUGUUGUGGAAGAAAAUGAAAUGCACGCUCUCCAAUUGUAUCCACAGUAUAUAUCUUUGCGACCUAAAGAAAUUAAAGGAGGGCGGUUUUUUCUGACAUAUCGGAAUGGUCGAUGUACUGUGCAACCAGUAGGCAAAAAUAUCUUCCAUAGCAUAGCUAGCGUAGCAUAGCUUCCAGGACUGCAAAAUAUCUCGGCUACGCAGAUGCUAAGAUGUACACAGGUCAUUGUUUGCGUCAUACAUCGGCAACUCUUCUCGUAGAUGCAGGUGCAGAUACGAUAACAUUGAAAAGACAUGGAAAAUGGAAGAGUGAUAUGUAGCAUCAGGAUAUGAAGAAGAGAAAAACAAAAUAUCUCGUUCAAUAGCAGGAGUCAAAAGAACUAUAGUGAUUAAAAUUUUUCUGAAUUGAUUGUGAGGGAAAAUGAACAACAUUUAUUGGAUAUUUGGCUUGUAAGCUUUAAGAAUGCUCUGUGUCGCAUCUAUGUGUUAACCUUCACGUCAAAUAUAAAAAGA